GAUGAACGCUGGCGGCGUGCCUAAUACAUGCCAGUCGAGCGAACGGACGAGAAGCUUGCUUCUCUGAUGUUAGCGGCGGACGGGUGAGUAACACGUGGAUAACCUACCUAUAAGACUGGGAUAACUUCGGGAAACCGGAGCUAAUACCGGAUAAUAUUUUGAACCGCAUGGUUCAAAAGUGAAAGACGGUCUUGCUGUCACUUAUAGAUGGAUCCGCGCUGCAUUAGCUAGUUGGUAAGGUAACGGCUUACCAAGGCAACGAUGCAUAGCCGACCUGAGAGGGUGAUCGGCCACACUGGAACUGAAACACGGUCCAGACUCCUACGGGAGGCAGCAGUAGGGAAUCUUCCGCAAUGGGCGAAAGCCUGACGGAGCAACGCCGCGUGAGUGAUGAAGGUCUUCGGAUCGUAAAACUCUGUUAUUAGGGAAGAACAUAUGUGUAAGUAACUGUGCACAUCUUGACGGUACCUAAUCAGAAAGCCACGGCUAACUACGUG
rnacentral:rRNA from 1 species